UUACAGGGAAGUAAAACCAUUUUGGAAAACAGCUGAUCUUACUCCAGAGGAAAGCAGCCUAGGAAAAACUGAAGCAUGCCAGGGGAAAACCACAGAUGCAGUCUUGCUCUUUACUGCCCCCAUUUUGCUCACAGUGCUGUUAGAGCGCUCUAGAAGUGGAAUAACUCCUCUCUUUUCACAUGGAACAGUGACCAGGAUUUGGGGACUACCUCUGUAUGUUCUGUUCAUGGCAUUUUCACAUACUGGAAAGCGUUGUGGCUUUUUUUCUGAAUGUCGAGCCAAGAUCUGACCAUUAGCUGCCCAGCGGGAGGUUACAUUGCCCAGCUUCCUCCGCAAUAAUGUGUGGCCAGAUGAGGCAUUUCCUCCUAUGAGAUGUGAGUAGACGAGAUAUGUACAGCCUCUGCUGCUUUCCCAGCAGAGAAUCACUUCAUCUGGACUUCCUGUUUUCCUCCGUUCCUGCAGACUGGAGGGCAGACUUCAGAGCCCAGCCUUCAUUCUGCAGACAGGAAUGGCCGCCUGGGAAGAGCACCAUUAAUGGAACUUACAGGCACUCCCUUUCUCUGGACUAGUCAGGAGAGUUGCAUAAAAGCAAAUAAAACUUCAUUUUAUUUGGA